UAGGGAAUCUUCCGCAAUGGACGCAAGUCUGACGGAGCAACGCCGCGUGAGUGAAGAAGGAUUUCGGUUCGUAAAACUCUGUUGUUAGAGAAGAACAGCGCAUAGAGUAACUGUUAUGCGUGUGACGGUAUCUAACCAGAAAGCCACGGCUAACUACGUGCCAGCAGCCGCGGUAAUACGUAGGUGGCAAGCGUUGUCCGGAUUUAUUGGGCGUAAAGCGAGCGCAGGCGGUCAAUUAAGUCUGAUGUGAAAGCCCCCGGCUCAACCGGGGAGGGUCAUUGGAAACUGGUUGACUUGAGUGCAGAAGAGGAGAGUGGAAUUCCAUGUGUAGCGGUGAAAUGCGUAGAUAUAUGGCGGAACACCAGUGGCGAAGGUGACUCUCUGGUCUGUAACUGACGCUGAGGCUCGAAAGCGUGGGUAGCAAACAGG
rnacentral:rRNA from 1 species